rnacentral:rRNA from 1 species
GAAUAUUGGACAAUGGGCGAAAGCCUGAUCCAGCCAUGCCGCGUGUGUGAAGAGGGUCUUCGGAUUGUAAUGCACUUUAAGUUGGGAGGAAGGGCAGUAAGCGAAUACCUUGCUGUUUUGAGGUCACCGAACGAAUAAGCACCGGCAUACUCUGUGUCCGCAGCCGCGGUAAUGCAGAGGGUGCAAGCGUUAAUCGGAAUGACUGGGCGUAAAGCGCGCGUAGGUGGUUCGUUAAGUUGGAUGUGAAAUCCCCGGGCUCAACCUGGGAACUUCAUCCAAAACUGGCAAGCUAGAGUAUGGCAGAGGGUGGUGGAAUUUCCUGUGUAGCGGUGAAAUGCGUAGAUAUAGGAAGGAACACCAGUGGCGAAGGCGACCACCUGGGCUAAUACUGACACUGAGGUGCGAAAGCGUGGGGAGCAAACAGG